rnacentral:rRNA from 1 species
GUAGGACUACCCGCUGAACUUAAGCAUAUCAAUAAGCGGAGGAAAAGAAACUAACAAGGAUUCCCCUAGUAACUGCGAGUGAAGCGGGAAGAGCUCAAAUUUGUAAUCUGCCUUAUGGCCGAGUUGUAAUCUGGAGAAGCGUUAUCAGGCGCCGACCGCAUUAAAGUCUCUUGGAACAGGGCGUCACAGAGGGUGAGAAUCCCGUGAGUAAUGCGGCUGCGGCGUUGUAGAGGCGCUCUCGAUGAGUCGAGUUGUUUGGGAAUGCAGCUCAAAAUGGGUGGUAAACUCCAUCUAAAGCUAAAUAUUGGCGAGAGACCGAUAGCGAACAAGUACCGUGAGGGAAAGAUGAAAAGGACUUUGGAAAGAGAGUUAAAGAGUACGUGAAAUCGCUGAAAGGGAAGCGCUUGAAGUGAGUCGCGCGGGCAGGAUUCAGCUGUGCGUAUUUCCUGCCUGUGGGCCAGCAUCGACGCUUGGCGGCGGACAAGGGCGGUGGGAAUGUGGCACCUUCGGGUGUGUUAUAGCCUGCUGUCGUACACGCUGCCUUACGUCGAGGACUGCUUAUAGGAUGCUGGCGUAAUGGCUUUAAGCGACCCGUCUUGAAACACGGACC